AUUGAACGCUGGCGGCAUGCUUUACACAUGCAAGUCGAACGGUAACAGGCCGCAAGGUGCUGACGAGUGGCGAACGGGUGAGUAAUGCAUCGGAACGUGCCCAGUCGUGGGGGAUAACUGCUCGAAAGAGCAGCUAAUACCGCAUACGAUCUAUGGAUGAAAGCGGGGGACCGUAAGGCCUCGCGCGAUUGGAGCGGCCGAUGUCAGAUUAGGUAGUUGGUGGGGUAAAGGCUCACCAAGCCAACGAUCUGUAGCUGGUCUGAGAGGACGACCAGCCACACUGGGACUGAGACAGGGCCCAGACUCCUACGGGAGGCAGCAGUGGGGAAUUUUGGACAAUGGGGGCAACCCUGAUCCAGCAAUGCCGCGUGCAGGAAGAAGGCCUUCGGGUUGUAAACUGCUUUUGUACGGAACGAAACGGUCUGGGUUAAUACCCUGGGCUAAUGACGGUACCGUAAGAAUAAGCACCGGCUAACUACGUGCCAGCCGCCGCAGUAAUAC
rnacentral:rRNA from 1 species